rnacentral:misc_RNA from 1 species
GGAAUGACAUCUUGAGCAAAUCAGGUUGUGGUCUUCACAAGAUUAGCAGCAGCAGGGAAAAAAAAAACCUGGUUCAUCAUAAUCCAGCUGAACGGUUGGCAUACUCCUGAACCAGUGCUCCAAAGAGUGAUGGCCUCUCAAGUAAAUGAGAUGGUUUAUCAAAUUCUUUUGCCCAUCCUGCAUCUAUAACUAAAACCCUGUCACAGUCCAUGACUGUGGGUAUUCUGUGAGCAAUGCUGAUGAUUGUGCAAGUUGCAAAGUCCUCUCGGAUAAUCUUCUGAAUUACACCAUCAGUUUUUGAAUCAACUGAUGCAGUUGCCUCAUCCAUAAACAAUAGCCGACUAUGCUUUAGCAUAACUCUCCCCAGACAGAGAAGCUGUCUUUGACCCACACUCCAAUUAUCGCCAUUGUCAACCACAGGAGCAUCAAGUUUUUCUGGCUUUGCAGCCACUACAUCCUUUAGCUGGCAGCGUUCGAGACUCUUCCAUAUGUCUUCAUCUGUAUGCUGUCCAAUGGGAUCAAUGUUGCUUCUCACCGUUCCUUCAAAAAGGACAGGUUCUUGAGGAAUUAUCCCAAAGCGAGACCUAAGAUC